AGUGUGUGACUGGCGGAUUCGUGGGAUACCACAGGGGAACACACCGAUAAGAAGCCGACCGCCUGGGCAU
rnacentral:ncRNA from 1 species